AUUGAACGCUGGCGGCAGGCCUAACACAUGCAAGUCGAACGAGUGGCGGACGGGUGAGUAAUGUCUGGGAAACUGCCCGAUGGAGGGGGAUAACUACUGGAAACGGUAGCUAAUACCGCAUACCAUCGGAUGUGCCCAGAUGGGAUUAGCUUGUAGGUGAGGUAACGGCUCACCUAGGCGACGAUCCCUAGCUGGUCUGAGAGGCUGACCAGCAAGACAGGAACGAAGAGACGGUGCAGACGCCAAGGUGAGGCAGAGGUGGGGAAGAUUGGACAGUGUGCGAGAUGCUGAUGCAUCGAUGGCGCGUGUAUGAAUAAGGCCUUCUGGUUGUAAAGUACUUUAAGCGGGGAUGCGUUAACCGCAGAAGAAGGACCGGCUAACGCCGUGCCAGCUGCCGCGGUAAUAC
rnacentral:rRNA from 1 species